rnacentral:snoRNA from 1 species
AAUUGAUGUGAUGAUAUUUGUGAUCUGAAUAAACGUGUUGACUGCAAUAUCAGACUACAAUUAUCUGAUCAAUC